rnacentral:rRNA from 1 species
GAUGAACGCUGGCGGCGUGCUUAACACAUGCAAGUCGAACGAAGCAUUUGCGACAGAUUUUUUCGGAAUGAAGUUGCUUAUGACUGAGUGGCGGACGGGUGAGUAACGCGUGGGUAACCUGCCUUGUACUGGGGGAUAGCAGCUGGAAACGGCUGGUAAUACCGCAUAAGCGCACAAUGUUGCAUGACAUGGUGUGAAAAACUCCGGUGGUAUAAGAUAGACCCGCGUCUGAUUAGCUAGUUGGUGAGAUAACAGCCCACCAAGGCGACGAUCAGUAGCCGACCUGAGAGGGUGACCGGCCACAUUGGGACUGAGACACGGCCCAGACUCCUACGGGAGGCAGCAGUGGGGAAUAUUGCACAAUGGAGGAAACUCUGAUGCAGCGACGCCGCGUGAGUGAAGAAGUAAUUCGUUAUGUAAAGCUCUAUCAGCAGGGAAGAUAGUGACGGUACCUGACUAAGAAGCUCCGGCUAAAUACGUG